GCAGCCGUGGCCUACUGGUUAGGGCUUUGGACUUGUGACCGGAGGAUUGCCGGUUCGAACCCCGACCAGUAGGA
rnacentral:tRNA from 1 species